CAGGCUUAUUGAGGGAUGUUCUGAGAUUGCAGGGAUCUUCAAACAUCACAAGCUGUCUGCAGUAACAAUCUCCAACCUGUUCAGUGAUAAUGACAACUGAAACACUAAGCUCUUCAGAUGAGCUCUCUGGAGUCGGCAGAGAGUCCCAGCACAUUCCUAAUGGUACUGAAGGGGAAAUGGAGCUGCUGCCA